rnacentral:misc_RNA from 1 species
ACAAUUUCACGCACUUCCGGAAUGUUUUCAUUCUGAUGAUAAUGGAAUUCUGAGAGAGAGAUAAAGGUGGUAUGGAGGAAACGAAUUUUGAUUGUCUUCCAGACGACUUGAUCAUCAGAAUUUUUAAGAAUGUUUCCGCGGAAGAUCUAUGUACGAUAUAUAACGUUAGCAAACGCUUCAGGCGGCUAGCCUUUGACAGAAGUCUCGUGAGACAUUGGUCUUUCAACAAAACAACUUUGUAAAAUUCUGUCUUCACUCCAAAAGCUGGAGGCCCUCGCCUUUACGGUGGCCAGUGUGGAUGAAUUUGACAAUAAUCUAAAUGCCUCCGAGUCUGCUCAGAGGACUAUGUGCAAUAUCAAACAUCUGACGAUUCAUUUCAAAGUGGGGAUCACUCCACGGACAGAGCCAUCAAUAUCGGUACAGUUCAUUCAAAAGAAGAACUCAUUCAUCGAGCACUGCCGAGAACUGACCUCUCUUCAUGUGAUGGGACAUCCCAACUUGGGCUGUGGAUUGCCCAAACUUCUCCUUCAACCAAAUGUUGUCAAAGUCAGCAACCUCAAAAACUUAAAGCAUUUGUCGCUAAAUUAUGCCAUAGAUCCAGCGGCAAGGAUAUUCUAUUAUGGGACCUUAAUGUCUGUAGCCAAGCUACAUCUCAAGUUAAAAACAGUCCUUAAUCCUUCUGCAAAUUUUAGUUCUGAAAGGAACAUGGACUUCUGGAAAAACUUCUGGAAUUCUCAGGAUGAUUUGGAGUAUCUAGACUUAUCCAAUAUAUCACUGAAGAACAUAUUUCCAACUAUUUUUGAUCCAGGUGUUGUUAAAAAGAAUCUGUUAUAUUUAAAUAUAUCUCAAACAGACAGUAGAGAAGUGGGGAUGAAUCUAGCCACUCUGGGCCAUGUUUGUCCAAACCUUCAAAGCUUAAAUCUGAAAAACAGUCAGCUAGUGUAUCUACAUAAGGGGGCAUUAGAGCAGGUUGGAGCACCAAUAAAGCAGCAGAUGACCUUUGACAUUGAGGGUUUCAGCAGCUUGGUCAGCAUGUGCCAUCAAAUUGUCCAUCUAAACCUCAGCAACAUUCAUAUCCACGAGGUCAGCGGGCUACAGAAGACGUUUGUUAACGCCCUCACCACACUAACAGGGUUACGCUCUCUAGCUCUGUCGCCAUGUUGCCUACGAUUACAGGACUGCGAGACCAGGGAGCCCGAGGACAGUCCGGGGUGUUCACAGUCCGGGAAGAAGCAGGCCGCCUCCACGGUGAUGGUCCAGUACGCCAAAAAGAGGCGGAUAUCUCUCCACACUGCAUCCACCUCCCAGCCAUCGGUCUUGCCUGACUCUGAGGACACUGACCUUGACCCAGCCUCCACCCUGUACCCUCGGUGUAAGACGGGCCUUGAGUCACUGACCGAGGCCUGCCCCCGCCUCUCCCACCUAGAACUGAUCAGUGCUGGACUGGUAAGGCCUGUGAUACACAGAGGGUCCAUCGGACUGGCACCACGGCCCUGUGUCUAUGUCCCAUGUGUGGAGUCGUAUGCCCUAACGGAUGCAGAGUUGUCAUACCUGGGACGACUCUCUAAUCUCCAGUACCUACAGCUAGCAGGAUUACCAGGCAUUAUAAGUGGAUCGUUUCUGUCACACAUUGCUAAGCAGUGUCCUCAGCUGAAACAGCUCCACCUGUCGUACCUAGGCCUGACCGCCCACUGUAUCUACACCAACCAGCUCUGUCAGGCCUUCCAGCACUUUACCUCCCUCAUCGAUCUCAGGUUAGAGCAUGCCUACUUGUCCAUCGAUCAGCUGUUUUGUCGGUCGGCCAGGAAGUGCAGGUCUUUGCAGCGGUUCUGUGUGGUGUCCAAGAACGGCAGUCUGGACCCUGACGCUGUGACAGGCCUGAUGUCUGAGCUCCCUCGUCUGAUGGUGCUACAGCUGUUUACUGACUCAACUCAAACCAUGUGUAAAAAACUGAUGAAGGCCCUGAAAGACAGGUUCCAGAGUACCCGGCCAGCACUUAGUGUGACCAUCUACCCUCUGUUUGACCAGGAUACAGCGUACGUCAUGAACAAAAUCCCCACCAAACACCUGGAGGAACUGACCAUAUUCAGCUCCAAGAUCUGUCAACAGCCUCCAGGACAGUGUAGGGUCAAGGUCAAAACUAGAGACCGCUCAGGCAAGGUCACUGUAUGACCUUGACCUCAAGCUAGUGGCCAGGCAAGUUGACCUUGUCCUAAAGCAAGUGUAAAACCAGGGAAUGACCAGAAAAGGUGAUUGUGACUUUGACCUUUUGUAAGGGUAAAACCAGGCCAACUAGGGAAAGGUGAAUGUGUGAACAUGAGUGAAUGCAAGGUCAAAAAUGUAUAUGACCUUCACCUUUAUUUAGGGUAUUUCAGAGACUGCUCAGGCCCUAGGUGAUUGAAAUGACCAUGACUUAUUAAUGCGAGGCCAAAAAUGUUACUUUAUUUAUAUAUUUAUGGACACAAAGCAUUAAAUUGAAUUAUCAUCCUGUGGCUAUGUCAAUGCCAAGUUUAUUAUUGUAUGUCAUAACAUACAUGUAACUUAAAUCAAUAAAUUAUCUUCAACAG